rnacentral:rRNA from 1 species
AGAGCGAACGCUGGCGGCAGGCCUAAUACAUGCAAGUCGAACGGAUCCUUCGGGAUUAGUGGCGGACGGGUGAGUAACACGUGGGAACGUACCCUUUGGUUCGGAACAACUCAGGGAAACUUGAGCUAAUACCGAAUGUGCCCUUCGGGGAAAAGAUUUAUCGCCAUUGGAGCGGCCCGCGUCUGAUUAGCUAGUUGGUAGGGUAAAGGCCUACCAAGGCUACGAUCAGUAGCUGGUCUGAGAGGAUGAUCAGCCACACUGGGACUGAGACACGGCCCAGACUCCUACGGGAGGCAGCAGUAGGGAAUCUUGCGCAAUGGGCGAAAGCCUGACGCAGCCAUGCCGCGUGAAUGAUGAAGGUCUUAGGAUUGUAAAAUUCUUUCAGCGGGGACGAUAAUGACGGUACCCGCAGAAGAACGCCCCGGCUAACGUUCGCGCCAGCAGCCGC